UUAUAGGAUGCAGUUUCCAUACUUCAAUCACAUAAAAUAUGAUUUAUAUAAUUUAAUACACAAGUAUAUUACGCGUGGCUCGAUAGAUCAUUGUUAGUGUAAAAUCCGUAUUAACCGAGAGUAAGACAAAUUAUACGUAAGAGUAAGAGUGUUUUUUUUUUUUUUGUGCUAUUUUAUAGGUUUUGAUCGACAGUUGUAAAAUGAUGUUUAUUGAUCCACGCGCUAAGAAUUAAUCAGUCUA